UACGAAGGGGGCUAGCGUUACUCGGAAUUACUGGGCGUAAAGGGCGCGUAGGCGGCGUUCCAAGUUAGGCGUGAAAGUCCUGGGCUCAACCUGGGAACUGCGCUUAAGAUCUGGAAUGCUAGAGGAUGGAAGAGGGUUGUGGAAUUCCCAGUGUAGAGGUGAAAUUCGUAGAUAUUGGGAAGAACACCGGUGGCGAAGGCGGCAACCUGGUCCAUUUCUGACGCUGAGGCGCGAUAGCGUGGGGAGCAAACAGG
rnacentral:rRNA from 1 species